UGCAGCAUUCAGGGUGGAAAGGGGCUCCACAGGCCGCCCUUCUCUCCUCAUGGUGCGAUCUCCUUUCCAGUGGCUGUGUUCACAAAGGAGGAAGCAUGCAUGAGCACCAGGAAGCACUCAUGAAACAAACAUCUCAAAGGUCUGGCUGCUGUGCCCUGGGAUACGCUAAGCAGUCUGACCACCUUGCAGCUAAUUGAAGCACAGAUUAAAGCAAAUGCAGUUGAAGUCUUUCAAUGGAAGUGAAGAGUCAGUCUAGUAUUUCUCCAAGCUGCUGAGGAAAAGUUCCUGUAAGUGACAAACUUAAUUCUUCCUUUAC